GAUGAACGCUGGCGGCGUGCCUAAUACAUGCAAGUCGAGCGAACAGACGAGGAGCUUGCUCCUCUGACGUUAGCGGCGGACGGGUGAGUAACACGUGGAUAACCUACCUAUAAUACUGGGAUAACUUCGGGAAACCGGAGCUAAUACCGGAUAAUAUAUUGAACCGCAUGGUUCAAUAGUGAAAGUCGGUUUUGCUGUCACUUAUAGAUGGAUCCGGGCGGCAUUAGCUAGUUGUGAAGUUAACGGCUUACCAAGGCAACGAUGCGUAGCCGACCUGAGAGGGUGAUCGGCCACACUGGAACUGAGACACGGUCCAGACUCCUAAGGGAGGCCGCAGUAGGGAAUCUUCCGCAAUGGGCGAAAGCCUGACGGAGCAACGCCGCGUGAGUGAUGAAGGUCUUCGGAUCGUAAAACUCUGUUAUUAGGGAAGAACAAAUGUGUAAGUAACUAUGCACGUCUUGACGGUACCUAAUCAGAAGGCCACGGCUAACUACGUG
rnacentral:rRNA from 1 species